rnacentral:rRNA from 1 species
GUCGAACGGAGUGUAGCAAUACACUAGUGGCGCACGGGUGCGUAACGCGUAACCAACCUGCCCUGAACUGGGGGAUAGCCCGCCGAAAGGCGGAUUAAUACCGCAUAUACCAGCAGCCUGGCAUCAGGCAAUUGGGAAAGAUUUAUUGGUUCAGGAUGGGGUUGCGUGACAUUAGCUAGUUGGCGGGGUAACGGCCCACCAAGGCGACGAUGUCUAGGGGACCUGAGAGGGUGAUCCCCCACACUGGCACUGAGAUACGGGCCAGACUCCUACGGGAGGCAGCAGUAGGGAAUAUUGGGCAAUGGGCGAGAGCCUGACCCAGCCAUGCCGCGUGCCGGAUGAAGGCCUUCUGGGUUGUAAACGGCUUUUCUCAGGGAAGAAAAAGGUGAUGCGUCACAAACUGACGGUACCUGAGGAAUAAGCACCGGCUAACUCCGUGCCAGCAGCCGCGGUAAUACGGAGGGUGCAAGCGUUGUCCGGAUUUAUUGGGUUUAAAGGGUGCGUAGGCGGCCCGUUAAGUCCGGGGUGAAAGCCCACAGCUCAACUGUGGAACUGCCCUGGAUACUGGCGGGCUUGAGUCCAGACGAGGUUGGCGGAAUGGAUGCUGUAGCGGUGAAAUGCAUAGAUAGCAUCCAGAACCCCGAUUGCGAAGGCAGCUGACUAGGCUGGUACUGACGCUGAGGCACGAAAGCGUGGGGAGCGAACAGGAUUAGAUACCCUGGUAGUCCACGCCGUAAACGAUGGAUACUCGCUGGUGGCGAUAGACAGUCACUGGCUUA